AUUUUAUAGCUUUAGAUGGCGUGGAAACAAAAAUCUAGCCGUUAGAGACAAAAAUAGAGCCGUUGGAGUCAAGAAAAACUAGCCGUUAUGCCUCCCAGCGUGCUAGAGUCGACUCGGCUGAAGCAGGAGUCAACUCGGCUGAAAUAGGAGUCGACUCGUGAAUAGUAGUUUGCCGGCACUGUAGCUGGGAGUCGACUCCGCACUGUAGCGCUGAAGUUGGAGUCGACUCGAGCACUGUAGCGCUGAAAAAUAACUCUUUGUCUUUUUGCCUGUUCUCAGUCGGAGUCGACUCGUAGAGUCCCGGAGUCGACUCGAGCACUGUUCCUUGAAACUCCAGAGUGCCAGAGUCGACUCUGAACUUCU
rnacentral:lncRNA from 1 species